GACGAACGCUGGCGGCGUGCCUAACACAUGCAAGUCGGACGGAUUUGAGGGGCAACUCUCAAGUCAGUGGCGAACGGGUGCGUAACACGUGAGCAAUUUGCCUUCAGGUGGGGGAUAGCCGGCCCAACGGCCGGGUAAUACCGCAUAUCGCCCCGGGGUCUCAUGACUCUGGGGUCAAAGCAGCCGCAAGGUUGCGCCGGGAGAGGAGCUCGCGGCCUAUCAGCUAGNGGUGGGGUAACGGCUCACCAAGGCUACGACGGGUAGCUGGUCUGAGAGGAUGGCCAGCCACAUUGGGACUGAGAACGGCCCAGACUCCUACGGGA
rnacentral:rRNA from 1 species